rfam:Schistosoma margrebowiei strain Zambia genome assembly, scaffold: SMRZ_contig0004223
AGCUUUCCGAGUCCGUGCAGAGAUUUCGUCAAACACCAAUCCGUUAUUGCUGAUCAGACUUCCAAGAUAAGUGAAGUU